AAAUGGCCUUUGAAAGUCUAGACAUCUUCAUCAUAAACACAAACAUUCCUCUUCACAAAGGGACCUCAAGUAACCUUAGGCUGGAGGGCCCACUUGGGUAUGUUUUUCUUCUCAUUCUUUCUUACCUUCCCUCCAGCCCACCCAACCCACAUUCAGUGACCAAGUCACGUGGGUUUUACCUCCUAAAUCUUUUCAGAUCCGUUCACUGCUCAGCCACUCUCCUGACACCACUAUAAACCAAGCCACCAUCACCUCCAGCUGUUUGACUGCAAAUGCCUCCUCACUGGCCUCUGUCUUCCCCUGGCCCUGUGACAAUCUGCACUCUUCACAGGGACCAAAGCGAUCACUUCAGAAGGUGCAUCCAAACCGAUCACUCGCUUUCAAUGGCUCCCUCUGCUGUGUCGGUUAACAAUGAUAAAAGCUCGGCCGGGCGCGGUGGCUCACGCCUGUAAUCCCAGCACUUUGGGAGGCCGAGGCGGUCGGAUCAUGACGUUAGGAGAUCCAGACCAUUCUC
rnacentral:lncRNA from 10 species